UACGAAGGGGGCUAGCGUUGCUCGGAAUUACUGGGCGUAAAGGGAGCGUAGGCGGGUCGUCAAGUUGGGGGUGAAAGCCCAGGGCUCAACCUUGGAAUUGCCUUCAAAACUGACGAUCUAGAGUAUGGAAGAGGUAAGUGGAACUCCGAGUGUAGAGGUGAAAUUCGUAGAUAUUCGGAAGAACACCAGUGGCGAAGGCGACUUACUGGUCCAUGACUGACGCUGAGGCUCGAAAGCGUGGGGAGCAAACAGG
rnacentral:rRNA from 2 species